rnacentral:tRNA from 2 species
GGGGACGUGGCUCAGUUGGGAGAGCGCAGCGUUCGCAACGCUGAGGCCGGGAGUUCGAUCCUCCUCGUCUCCA